ACGGGAGGCAGCAGUGGGGGAUAUUGCACAAUGGGGGAAACCCUGAUGCAGCGACGCCGCGUGAGUGAUGAAGUAUUUCGGUAUGUAAAGCUCUAUCAGCAGGAAAGAUAAUGACGGUACCUGACUAAGAAGCACCGGCUAAAUACGUGCCAGCAGCCGCGGUAAUACGGAGGAUGCAAGCGUUAUCCGGAUUUAUUGGGUUUAAAGGGUGCGUAGGCGGUCUGACAAGUCAGCGGUGAAAUGUCCACGCUCAACGUGGAAAGUGCCGUUGAAACUGCCGGACUAGAAUUCGGAUGCCGUGGGAGGAAUGUGUAGUGUAGCGGUGAAAUGCUUAGAUAUUACACAGAACACCGAUUGCGAAGGCAUCUCACGAAUCCGAUAUUGACGCUGAGGCACGAAAGUGCGGGGAUCAAACAGGAUUAGAUACCCUGGUA
rnacentral:rRNA from 1 species